CCUACGGGUGGCAGCAGUGGGGAAUAUUGGACAAUGGGCGAAAGCCUGAUCCAGCCAUGCCGCGUGUGUGAAGAAGGCCUUCGGGUUGUAAAGCACUUUCAGUGGGGAAGAAAGCCUUGGGGCUAAUACCCUCGAGGAAGGACAUCACCCACAGAAGAAGCACCGGCUAACUCCGUGCCAGCAGCCGCGGUAAUACGGAGGGUGCGAGCGUUAAUCGGAAUUACUGGGCGUAAAGCGCGCGUAGGCGGUCUGAUAAGCCGGUUGUGAAAGCCCCGGGCUCAACCUGGGAACGGCAUCCGGAACGGGCAGGCUAGAGGGCAGGAGAGGAAGGUAGAAUUCCCGGUGUAGCGGUGAAAUGCGUAGAGAUCGGAGGGAAUACCAGUGGCGAAGGCGGCCUUCUGGACUGACACUGACGCUGAGGUGCGAAAGCGUGGGUAGCAAACAGGACUAGAUACCCGAGUAGU
rnacentral:rRNA from 1 species